CCAGCCUUCCAAUUCCAGCCAUGCGAUGCUCCCGUCCCGUGCCGCUCGACGGAGUGCCCGCCGCCAAGUCCAUCCCCUACCUAGGGUCGUCGACGGCACCGACGAAAGUGGAGGUGGGUUCUUCUCCGGUAGCUCCCCCACCGCGCUUCUGUAGAUCCGCCGCAUCAUGUCCCCGUACGCAUCCGGCAUCGCCCUCCUGCUGCCGGAAAGGAAUUCGCGCUCGCCGCAAAGGAGCUCGCCGCCGGCUCCUCGUAUCGUCCCCGAGCUCCUCCCUCCGUGCCUGAGAAAUCUUCCGGUGGCUGCGGCGGAGGAGGAUAUUGCGCUCGUCCAGAUGUUCACCGAGUCUUGCCUAAGGCUCAGGGUCAUGAAAGGUUCAGAUGCAAUUGGACUUGGUAUUUUCAGAGCCGUUGGUUCAAUAUCCACUUUUGUCUUUUACUGAGCACAUGCCGUUCAUAUGUAGAUAGUUGUAUUAUUUAACCAUUUAUUUGCAUCAUGAUACUGCCUUAUUGUUCAAGCUGUUUCUCAGGCUUGCUUCGCUGAAAUACACAUUUGCAGGAAAAUAGUGUACUCUACAAAAGACUUGUUGAAAGCAUGUUUGCAUGUAGCUUAAAUAUGUUUAAGCACAUGAGCUUUAAAUUGAAAUGCUAGUUUGCUUCCA